GGGAAUGUGGCUUAAUGGUAGAGCGCUUGCCUAGCAUGCAUGAAGCCCUGCUGGGUUCCAUUCCUC
rnacentral:tRNA from 1 species